UACAGAGGGUGCGAGCGUUGUCCGGAAUCACUGGGCGUAAAGGGCGCGUAGGUGGCGUCGCAAGUCGAUGGUGAAAGCUCGAGGCUCAACUUCGAGUCGGCCAUUGAUACUGCGAGGCUGGAGCACUGUAGAGGCAGAUGGAAUUCCGGGUGUAGCGGUGGAAUGCGUAGAGAUCCGGAAGAACACCGGUGGCGAAGGCGGUCUGCUGGGCAGUAGCUGACACUGAGGCGCGACAGCGUGGGGAGCAAACAGG
rnacentral:rRNA from 1 species